CAGGAAUUCCUUUACAGGAACAAACUGCUGACGUAGAUUUGUAGUUUAUUAACCCCUUCCAGUCUGGGAACACAGCCUUUGCGCCGCUAAGCACACAGCAGGGAACGGCAAGACAACUGGAUUACUUCACUGUGCAGCGCUCGGGUGUUGUUCUGUUCUAGACAGGAAAGACAGCAGCUUAACACUUCUGACAAGACAAUUCCCAGUAUUGGAAUGCGAGCUUGGAGCUGUAUGCUCAAAUCCUGAAGUGGGGUUCAUGACAAGAGUUGGAAAAUACCUAAACGCUGACAGCUGAUACCGAGGACCUUUUCUGCCGGUGACUAUGAAUGGGAAGAAAAUGCAGCCCAUGUCAUAUAAUAUGAUGAACAUUUUGAAAUGGCAACUGCUCAACAAGGACAAUCCUCUUCUCCCAGGAAUUCGUAUAGCGAACAUUUGUCGC